UCGCACCUCAAUCCGUGUGGCUUGACGGUGGUUGAGUUUUGAAGGAGAGCGAAUCGUCUGGGCUCCUUGAACCAAAAGUGAUCCCGCGAUUCUUAAUUAGACUGUAGUCUGUCUGAACAGCAGCUCCAGAAUGCGUCUUAAAAUAUACUGAAUAUAUAGUUAGAGAAUAUUUAAAAAUAAUAAUAAUAACUGGACGGAAACAUUGGACGUGAUUGUUUGCAGCUGUCUCGCGCAGCGGGGCUGAAUUUCGUGCGUUUACCUUUUUUUCUUUUUUUUUAAUGAACUUUGUGGAAAUAUGUAACUGUGACAAAUGAGAUUGUAACAUGGAGCAGUCGGCUACUCUCGACAUAGAGACGCUAAAGAUUACCCAGGAGCAGUUUAUUCUUGCGUCCCAGUCGCUGCACCUCCAGCGACCAGGCUGUGAUGCCGUCUACCCAGUGGGUCUGUACGGCUGGAGGAAACGAUGCCUCUAUUUCUUCCUGCUGCUGCUGCUGGUCACCAUGAUAGUUAACCUGGCCCUCACCGUCUGGAUCAUAAAGGUCAUGAAUUUUUCAGUGGAUGGUAUGGGAAACCUGCAUUUGAACCAGGAUGGGAUUCGUCUGGAGGGAAUUUCCGAGUUUCUCCUGCCUCUCUAUGUGAACGAGAUCCAGUCCAGAAGGGACAGCUUGUUGGUUUUGCGGUCAGAAAAGAACGUGACGCUGAACGCCCGAAACAACCAAGGCCAACUGACCGGCCAGCUCACAGUGGGACCUGAGGCUGUGGAGGCUCAGUGUCAGAAGCUAGAGGUACGGAGUAGAGACGGAGGCAGACUGCUUUUCACUGCAGAUGAGGAGGAGGUCAUCAUGACAACAGAAAAAUUCACUGUUACAGGCUCAGAAGGCGCUGUGUUCGGACAUUCAGUAGAAACUCCGCUGAUCCAGGCGAAGGCUUCUGAAGACCUGAAGCUGGAGUCUCCAACACGGACGCUGACCAUGGAGGCUCCCAGAGGGGUAGAAGUGAGCGCAUCCAAGGGGCCGCUGAAGGUCAGCGGUCGAAAGGACCUACAACUGGAGUCCACAGAGGGAGAGAUACUCUUAGAUGCCAACACCAUUCAGCUGGGGAAUCUUCCGCUCGGCGUCUACACAGCGUCUCCAAGCGAGGCCUCCCAGGAACAAGCCCUGUACGAACUGUGCGUCUGCCCCAGUGGCAAGAUCUACCUCUCUCCUGCAGAGAGCAGCUCCACCUGCCAGGCCAUGAGCAACAUCUGUCUCUGGAGCUGACCUGGGACCAGCGUCGGUGGUCCGGGACACCUUCAGCAUCUGCUCUGGAGCUACCGGGUUCGAGACGAGGACUCCCCCGUUGGUACAUUUGACGGAGAGUGGAACGCUGAGAUGGAGCUCAAACUCAACACUUGAGCUCAGAUUAGCACAGAAGCAUCCGAGUCCUCUUCCUGCAGUGGUCUCAUGGAGAUCAGGACUCUUGUAGCACUGACAGUGAUGGAGGAACGGCAGCCAGAGCAGCCCUCUGAAAUCAGGAAUAUCUCCUACAAACAGGAACAUUUCCACUACCUUAUAUCUUUUUAUUUUUCUACUCUAGGUUUAUUGUAGACAUGCAGUGACUGCCUUCAGGAUUGGGAAAGAGCGGAUGGGAAAAGAUGAAAACACAGGUGCCUUCAGCUGUGAAAGAAGUCAUAUUGUGACUAAUACUGAACUUCUGUGUGCCAUCAGAGUGAAAUAGUCAGUGGUGUUUGAAGUUGUAAUGGUAGAAAGUGAUGUAAGCACAAUUGUCAUGUUUCUCCUCUCCCAAAAAAGUCCAGAUUUUAAACAUUUUUUGAGUAAUCUCAAUCGAUAUUUUAGCUUUUUUUUCCACUGUUAGCAGCUGUUUAAUUUGAAAUUAAACAUGUUUUUAUGUGGGACACGUUGUACGAGUCAAACACUGUAAACGUGCGGUUUCAAAUGUUCAGGUUAAAGGUUGACAAGACUUCUCCACUUUAAGAGUGUGAGCUGUACUUCUCUUCGAGGCAGCGAUCCACCGUGGAGUUGGACACGAGAGGCUGGCUGACCUUGGCGCGGCGACUGAGAGCAAAAAGCAGGCAGCCAUGUGUCAGCAGACCUGCUGGAGUGCAAAGUCUCGCUCUCCACUCCGCUUCCUCAUCCUCCAUCAUCAUCAGACGGGGGCCGCUUUGCGCUGAUGUGCAUCUCAUACAGGACAGAUGCUUCAGCGUUUCACCUGGUGGGGGUUGGAACAUGAUGAAGGCUUUCCAUGGCCACGGGCAAUCGGAAAAGAACUGGCCCGAGGAGACUAUUAUAGACACAGGAGUGCUGCAGAAGACGUGACCGUGUGCAGCUCAGGACUUCAGCUUCAUGUUGUAUAUUAUGGUUUGUUUAUAAAUCCACACAAUCUAUAAGUAACUUGUACUGUAAGAACAGUUUCCAUCAUCCACUGUUGUACAAUAUUUAGCUUGUGCUGCCAUCUAUUGGCAGAUAUACUUCAAUGUUACAUUUGGAAAAUACAAAGUUGGAUUCCCCUGC